rnacentral:rRNA from 1 species
CUGGGGUACUCGAGUGGCGAACGGGUGAGUAACACGUGGGUGAUCUGCCCUGCACUUCGGGAUAAGCCUGGGAAGCUGGGUCUAAUACCGGAUAGGACCAUCGUUUAGUGUCGGUGGUGGAAAGUUUUUCGGUGUGGGAUGAGCUCGCGGCCUAUCAGCUUGUUGGUGGGGUAAUGGCCUACCAAGGCGUCGACGGGUAGCCGGCCUGAGAGGGUGUACGGCCACAUUGGGACUGAGAUACGGCCCAG